rnacentral:ncRNA from 1 species
GGUUGUGACAUCAGUCGCAGCGCCGAGUAGCUAUAUUCCUAAGGGAUAACCGCUGAAAGCAUCUAAGCGGGAAGCCCACCUAAAGAUUAGAACUCGUUUCCGCCGAAAGGCGGAUGAAGACCCCCGAAAGAAUAUCGGGUAUACAUCCCGACACCAAUUUAUUGGUGUGGGGAUAAACCGGAGAAAAGUGGAAGUGCCGUAAGGCAUUAAGCUUAUUUUUACGGAUUGGUCAAAGGAAGACCUUG